GUGGGGAAUUGUUCGCAAUGGGCGCAAGCCUGACGACGCAACGCCGCGUGGGGGAUGAAGGUCUUCGGAUCGUAAACCCCUGUCGAGCGGGACGAACGGCCCGUGAUUGAACAGGUCGCGGGAGUGACGGUACCGCUAAAGGAAGCCACGGCUAACUCUGUGCCAGCAGCCGCGGUAAUACAGAGGUGGCAAGCGUUGUUCGGAAUUACUGGGCGUAAAGGGCGCGUAGGCGGCCAUCUAAGUCAGACGUGAAAUCCCUAGGCUUAACCUAGGAACUGCGUCUGAUACUGGAAGGCUUGAGUUCGGGAGAGGGAUGUAGAAUUCCAGGUGUAGCGGUGAAAUGCGUAGAUAUCUGGAGGAAUACCGGUGGCGAAGGCGGCAUCCUGGACCGAAACUGACGCUGAGGCGCGAAAGCUAGGGUAGCAAACGGGAUUAGAAACCCGAGUAGUCC
rnacentral:rRNA from 1 species